AUGAUGUGCUAGAACUUCCUCAUGCCAGCUCAAGGAAGUUCCAGAGAGAGAAAAAAACCCAAACAAGCUGUGGAAGGAGUUGUAAUGAACAGGGUGUUAACAGAGGAUCAGGAGUGGCACUGCCCAGAGUCAUGGCAGCAGCAGUUGCUUUCGCCACAGCCAACUUCCUAACAGACACUAAGAUGUGCUUAAGCCAGUCCUUGUCCCCCUCCAGGUCUACCCUCCCACAGUUCCUCAUCCCAUUCCUCCUCCUCCC